UACGAAGGGGGCUAGCGUUGCUCGGAAUCACUGGGCGUAAAGGGUGCGUAGGCGGGUUUUUAAGUCAGGGGUGAAAUCCUGGAGCUCAACUCCAGAACUGCCUUUGAUACUGAGGAUCUUGAGUACGGGAGAGGUGAGUGGAACUGCGAGUGUAGAGGUGAAAAUUCGUAGAUAUUGGGGAAGAACACCAGUGGCGAAGGCGGCUUACUGGUCCGGUUCUGACGCUGAGGCGCGAAAAGCGUGGGGGAGCAAACAGG
rnacentral:rRNA from 1 species